AUUAAAAAUGUGAUUAUCAGACUUAAAAGAUCGAUUGAGUGGUUGAACAAUAAAUUUCAAAGAAACACAAGGGUAAAAGGAUUAAUCUCAAAAACCCAAUUCCCAAUUAAUGGAAAUUUCAGAAACAGAUAAAAAGACAACUAAAGAAAGAAACUAGAGUUGAAGGCCAGGAGUAAUUAGAUUGAAAGUAUUCAUUUAAUGUUCAGAACAGUGAAUAAAUGCAGACCCAUAUUUGAAACAUUAUUUAAAUUUACAGAACACUAAGGAUAAAGCAGAUUCUAAAGGCUUCCAGAGGGUGAAAAAGCCUGAACUUUUGCAAUGGAGUGAGAAUCAGAUUGUAUCAGUCCUUGCAUCAGCCAUAGCAAAAGUGGGACCCUGAGAAGCUGACAGUUGGGCUGUACAGAAGCUGAGUUCAGGACACAUGCAGCAAAGCAUGGAGAUGCUUCGAGGACAGCAGAGCUGAAAACAUGAAUACAAUGCAUAAGCUUUUGACUGGAUGGCAGAAUGGCGAUGGGAAUCCGG